rnacentral:lncRNA from 1 species
AAAAUAAAUAAAUAAAUAAAUAAGUAAAAUGUAAAAAAAUUUACAUUAUAAAAUGGAAAGUUAGAGUUGAUGCUUUUUGAGAUGUUAGGAGGGGAUAUAUGGAGCCAUUGUGUGCUUUGAUAAUAUCUGUGUCUGAGUAAUUAAGUAUGCUUUAAACACGUCCAGAUUCUACUGCAUUCUUUCUCAGGAAACUGCAGAAUAAUUAAUUUCUCCAUACACACCAUUUAAAAAACAUACCUCCUGUCACGGACACACUUUUGCAAUAAAAAACUGUUUAAUGAAUAGACUAAUUGAGAAGGUUUACAUAUCACAUUCAAAGCUUGGGGAGCACCUGGGAACUAAAAAGUACAUUCUGUUAGUAGGGAUCUAGGCUACAGUCAGGCUGGCUUUCAAAUGGAAACAUGCUGGUUUUUUAGACUCGCAUGGAGCCUUGUUUCCUGGUUGCAUAAUAGAAUGGUGCAGGCAAGUUAGUAAAUUCUGUAUUUGCCACACAAUAAAGAAAUCUCCCUAAAACCUGACACCCUUGCUAUGAGAAUUGCUCAAAAACUUUUCCUUCAACACUCUUCCCAGAUUCUGUUUAUCUCAAAAGAGAAGACACAGGCUGAUCUGCAUUCUGCAAUUGACUGCCCCAUAGCCUCUGCAGUGUGCAGAUUUGAAAUUGACUUUCUCCCUGGAGGAUGUUUCUUGGACCAGGAGGGGUCACCAAGGAAGCCAGAGUGGAGGCUGCAGGGAAUAUGGAUUUAAAUGAAUUUUGGCUGUACCAUCAAGCAGUCUGAUCACUGAGGAAAUAUCAAAAGCUUCACCCGAGUGACUCAUCACCCAAAUUCAACAGAGACUUGCCAAAGAAGCUGCUUAUUUCACAGAAGGAUGGUGCUGGCUGAAAGAUACUUCCUUGAAACUGAGAGAUUGCUUCCUUAGACAGGUCUCCUUGAAGAGGUAUUUGAUUUGCAUUUUAAUUGUUGGAGCUAAAAACCUAGCUCAGAACUUCAGUUAUCUGCAUUGUUUCUGUUUGCAUUCUUGCAGUG